rnacentral:rRNA from 1 species
GACAGAGGGUGCAAACGUUGUUCGGAAUUACUGGGCGUAAAGCGCAUGUAGGCGGCUCGGAAAGUCGGAUGUGAAAGCCCAGGGCUCAACCCUGGAAGUGCACUCGAAACUCCCGAGCUGGAGUCCCGGAGAGGAAGGCGGAAUUCUCGGUGUAGAGGUGAAAUUCGUAGAUAUCGAGAGGAACACCUGUGGCGAAGGCGGCCUUCUGGACGGUGACUGACGCUGAGACGCGAAAGCGUGGGGAGCAAACAGG